ncrna:unclassified sequences Cyclic di-GMP-II riboswitch
AAUGUAAUUGGAGGCAUUGAACCUGUCAGCCUAAAUGGGCGCCAUGGUCGGCGGGUGAGCUAGUGGCGCAACCAGCCAACUUACUU